UUUCAUGUAUUUACCAAUUAGGCGUCCACCUGUAUAACAAAGGAAUACUUUUCAUGUCUUUACAAAUUAGGCGCCCACCUGUAUAAUAAGGGAAUACAUUUCAUGUCUUUAGCAUUAGGCGCCCACCUGUAUAACAAGGGAAUAUAUUUCAUGUCUUUACCAAUUAGGCGCCCACCUGUAUAACAAGGGAAUACGUUCAUGUCUUUAGCAUUAGGCGCCCACCUGUAUAACAAGGGAAUAUUUUUCAGUCUUUACAUUUCAGGUCUUGAAAUCCGUAACCCACCGAAAGGCAGAAGGAUACAACAAAAGAUCCACAGCAUAAUGCGGGAAGCCGCAUCCUCAUGCGGAUAGAACAAAA
rnacentral:lncRNA from 1 species